GGCUGUAAACGAUGGAUGCUAGGCGUUGGCAGACUCAAUCCUGUCCGCGCCGAAGUUAACACGAUAAGCAUCCCGCCUGGGAAGUACGACCGCAAGGUUAAAACUCAAAGGAAUUGACGGGGACCCGCACAAGCAGCGGAGCGUGUGGUUUAAUUCGAUGCUACACGAAGAACCUUACCCGGACUUGACAUACUAGUGGUAGAGAGAAGAAAUUUAAUCGACCCGCAAGGGAGCUAAUACAGGUGUUGCAUGGCUGUCGUCAGCUCGUGUCGUGAGAUGUUCGUUUAAGUACGCUAACGAGCGCAACCCUCAUUGCCAGUUACAAGUGUCUGGCGAGACUGCCGGCCGCAAGCCGGAGGAAGGCGGGGAUGACGUCAAGUCAGCAUGGCCUUUAUGUCCGGGGCUACACACACGCUACAAUGGGAUGGAACAAUGGGAAGCCAAGCCGCGAGGCGGAGCAAAUCCUAGUAAAACAUUCCUCAGUUCAGAUUGCAGGCUGCAACUCGCCUGCAUGAAGUUGGAGUUGCUAGUAAACGCGCGUCAGCUAUAGUGCGUUGAAUACGUUCCCGGGUCUUGUACACACCGCCCGUCACACUGUGGGAGCUGGUAACACCUAAAGACAUUGGCUUAACCGCAAGGAGAGUAAUGUUUAGGGUGGGGUCGGUGACUGGAGUGAAGUCGUAACAAGGUAGCUGUACGGGAACGUGCGGCUGGAUCACCUCC
rnacentral:rRNA from 1 species